rnacentral:lncRNA from 1 species
GAAGAGUGACAUGGGAAAGAAAGCUAAAGCUAGUUUAACCUCCAAUUCGGUUGCUAAACCUCCAAACAAAAAAUAGAAAUCUUCAUAAAAGUGACUUCCAAAUUUCUGCAUCCCGUCUUCAAAACAUUUCUCUCGACAUCUUUAAACUCUUUAAAAAGCAGCAACCAACUUCUGAUCCAAUAUAUCCCCGUAACCUGCAUGGAAGAAUUACUUUUAGUGCUAUUGAAAACCACAUCAUUUCUACUUAACCAAAUUGCCCAACAGAGAGCAGCAGCAGCUGCACCAACUCGAUCAAAUUUUGAAUCUAGGCUUAAGUUAAAGGAAAGCGAGCAUACCAAGGAAGACAAAUAAACGGGUUCAUUAGCUAAAUACUAGUAUAAGAAAAGGUUAGAUUUCUUGAGAAAUUAGCACUCCUUUUCCUACCAUUUUUGCUUACCCUCUCUCUAGUUUGCAAUUAUCAUUACUCCAUCUUGAAAUCGACAGCAAUGGAGAAGAGAUUUAGAGAAGAUUUGUUUCGGACCGGGACGGGAUCAUGUCAAAUCGGAGAAGGAAUCAUACUAUUUAAGCAAAAGAAGUAGAUGCAGGAUGGAGUCCGCUCCACGCCACAUCGGAUCCUAUAAAUUCCCCGCCUUUUCUUCUCCACUCCACUCAUCACAAAUCUCUCUCUCUCUCCUCCUCCUCUCUCUCUCUCUCUCUCUCGCUCGCUCUCCAAGCUCCAGCUAGACUGUCCUGCUCUGCUUCGGUGCUUGCUACUGUGCACAGCCAGCCAGCUGCAGGCCUGCAGCAGAGAAGCUCUGCAGUGCAAUGGAGAGGCCUGCGCAGGCGCCCACGCAGCUGCCGCCGGGGUUCCGGUUUCACCCCACCGACGUGGAGCUGGUAGUGCUGUACCUCCGCCGGCAGGCCCUGGCUCGCCCGCUGCCGGCCGCCGUCAUCCCCGUCGUCCACGACGUCGCCAGGCUCGAUCCAUGGGACCUCCCUGGUGCGUGCGCACGCAUGCUCUCCUCUUCAUUUGAGCCGCCGUGCUUGCAGCUGCGGCACAACCGCGAACAUUUUCAGCUUAUUCAUACAGAGUUUUUCCUGAUUAUCUGGUGUAACUAAACUACGCAGGGGCAAGCGAAGGGGAGGGCUACUUCUUCAGCCUGCUGCGGCGAGCGCCGGCGACCGGCCGUGGCAGCCGCAGGAGGAGAGCUGGAAGCGGGUACUGGAAGGCCACGGGGAAGGAGAAGCCGGUGUUCCUGCAGUGCGGCGGCGGCGUUGGCGGCAAGGGGCAGCUGCUCGUGGGCGUCAAGACGGCGCUCGCCUUCCACCGCAGUGAGCCGCCGGCGCCGUCGUCGCGGACCGGCUGGAUCAUGCACGAGUACAGGCUCGCCGUGUCCCGCGGCGUGGCCGAGCAGAGAGAGAAGAAUGCGAGCCAGGUAAGAAUUCCCACCAUAAUUUCAACCUUGAGGCUUCAUUGUUUCAGUCUUUGCUGUGAAAUUUUACAGAGUCGACCUCUGCCUCAAAUACCCCAACUGGGAGUAGCACAUACCACUCCCAAUUUACUGCUGUAACUGUGGUUGCAUUAAACAAGGGGUCACCCUACCAUCAAGUCGAAAUGUUGUGAAAAAUGCUUAAGCUCAUUUAGCUACGCUAACAGCAAAGUACCAACAUAAUAGGACGUGCUAAAAUAGUACUAAAACGUACUUCUCCGUUUUCACAAUACAUGCUGAUGUCUAGCAUGCUACCGUUCGUUUUACUGAAAUUUGGCUAAUACUUUGAUGCCGAAAUAUUGUGAGAGGAAAACAUUGUACUAUUGCUGAAAUUUGCUUGUCCUAAAUACAAUAUAUACGAAAAUGGAGGUGGUAAUCAAAAUGGCUCUCAUUUCAAAAGAAGUGAAAGAUCGAAGUUUUUUUUCUCGAAUACGCAAAAGGUUUGCGCAUCUUUGUAUUAAGUAGAAGCAGGUUUUUUACAAAAGCGCCGAGGCGCUGGCGGCGGAGGUUUUACAGGUGGUACAAGAACAAUACCCUCCCCACAACACGACAUGCAAAGUCAGUUAGUCAGUAGCAUUGGUACACCGAGUCUAAAAACCAGAAAGUUCCCCAUCUUCGAGCAACUUGAGAUUGUGACAGCUUAACAUCGACUACUAAAUGGAAAUGGAAUACUACACAAUGCAAUGAUAUGUUUUCAGAACAUGCAGAUAUGAGAAUCUAGCCUCCGUUUGAAGUAACUUGACCCGCUUUGCAACCUCGACCGCGAUAUAUUUGCCGUAUGCAGCUUACAUUUGACCAGAACUUGGCGUGCCAAUGGCUGCAGGGUUG